rnacentral:tRNA from 1 species
CGGCGUGUGCAGCGGGAGCUCGGCGGCGGGCGCGCUCCAGCUGCGCCUGCUCAGUACGACGCUGCCGUGCCGC